CAUAUUUGGCUGUCAGCUCCAUCUCUUUCUUGGCAUCAUGUUUCUUUACCUAAUUGAGCAAGUCUUGAGGGCAAAGGCUCCUAUUUUUGGGCCUGCCAUCUCAUCUCUCCCUUGUGCUUAUCCAAUUGUAUGCCAUUUUGGUGAUCCUUGGUGUUAUUGGCUGUAAAUUUUGGAGUCUUAUGAGAUGCCAAAUUCGAGAAGGAUGGGGAAGAGAAAAGGAUAGAGUAGAAGAUCUUGUAUUGUAGAAAUGUAUCUUUGAAAGAAAUCUCACUUGUAGCUCCAUGUAUCCAAUUCGUAUAGCAUGUAUUGUACUUUGUACUAAUUUAUUCUCUUUUCCUCCUUCCAAUAAUUUUAAUUUACAAACUUAAA